rnacentral:SRP_RNA from 1 species
GCCGGGUGCGGUGGCGCGUGCCUGUAAUCCAAGCUACUGGGAGGCUGAGGCUGGCGGAUCGUUUGAGCUCAGGGGUUCUGGGCUGCAGUGGGCUAUGCCGAUCGGGUGUCCGCACUAAGUUCGGUAUCGAUAUGGUGCUCCUGAGGGAGCUCGGGACCACCAGGUCGCCUAAGGAGGGGUGAACCGGCCCAGGUCGGGAACGGAGCAGGUCAAAGCCCUCGUGCCGAUCAGUAGUGGGAUCGCGCCUGUGAAUAGACACUGCCGUGCAGCCUGAGUAAUACAGCGGGACUCAGUCUUU